rnacentral:rRNA from 1 species
GGCGAACGGGUGAGUAACACGUGGGCAAUCUGCCCUUCACUCUGGGACAAGCCCUGGAAACGGGGUCUAAUACCGGAUAACACUCUGUCCUGCAUGGGACGGGGUUAAAAGCUCCGGCGGUGAAGGAUGAGCCCGCGGCCUAUCAGCUUGUUGGUGGGGUAAUGGCCUACCAAGGCGACGACGGGUAGCCGGCCUGAGAGGGCGACCGGCCACACUGGGACUGAGACACGGCCCAGACUCCUACGGGAGGCAGCAGUGGGGAAUAUUGCACAAUGGGCGAAAGCCUGAUGCAGCGACGCCGCGUGAGGGAUGACGGCCUUCGGGUUGUAAACCUCUUUCAGCAGGGAAGAAGCGAAAGUGACGGUACCUGCAGAAGAAGCGCCGGCUAACUACGUGCCAGCAGCCGCGGUAAUACGUAGGGCGCAAGCGUUGUCCGGAAUUAUUGGGCGUAAAGAGCUCGUAGGCGGCUUGUCACGUCGGAUGUGAAAGCCCGGGGCUUAACCCCGGGUCUGCAUUCGAUACGGGCUAGCUAGAGUGUGGUAGGGGAGAUCGGAAUUCCUGGUGUAGCGGUGAAAUGCGCAGAUAUCAGGAGGAACACCGGUGGCGAAGGCGGAUCUCUGGGCCAUUACUGACGCUGAGGAGCGAAAGCGUGGGGAGCGAACAGGAUUAGAUACCCUGGUAGUCCACGC